rnacentral:rRNA from 1 species
GACGAUAACGGCGUCGAGCGGCGGACGGGUGAGUAAUGCCUAGGAAAUUGCCCUGAUGUGGGGGAUAACCAUUGGAAACGAUGGCUAAUACCGCAUGAUGCCUACGGGCCAAAGAGGGGGACCUUCGGGCCUCUCGCGUCAGGAUAUGCCUAGGUGGGAUUAGCUAGUUGGUGAGGUAAGGGCUCACCAAGGCGACGAUCCCUAGCUGGUCUGAGAGGAUGAUCAGCCACACUGGAACUGAGACACGGUCCAGACUCCUACGGGAGGCAGCAGUGGGGAAUAUUGCACAAUGGGCGCAAGCCUGAUGCAGCCAUGCCGCGUGUGUGAAGAAGGCCUUCGGGUUGUAAAGCACUUUCAGUCGUGAGGAAGGUAGUGUAGUUAAUAGCUGCAUUAUUUGACGUUAGCGACAGAAGAAGCACCGGCUAACUCCGUGCCAGCAGCCGCGGUAAUACGGAGGGUGCGAGCGUUAAUCGGAAUUACUGGGCGUAAAGCGCAUGCAGGUGGUUUGUUAAGUCAGAUGUGAAAGCCCGGGGCUCAACCUCGGAAUUGCAUUUGAAACUGGCAGACUAGAGUACUGUAGAGGGGGGUAGAAUUUCAGGUGUAGCGGUGAAAUGCGUAGAGAUCUGAAGGAAUACCGGUGGCGAAGGCGGCCCCCUGGACAGAUACUGACACUCAGAUGCGAAAGCGUGGGGAGCAAACAGGAUUAGAUACCCUGGUAGUCCACGCCGUAAACGAUGUCUACUUGGAGGUUGUGGCCUUGAGCCGUGGCUUUCGGAGCUAACGCGUUAAGUAGACCGCCUGGGGAGUACGGUCGCAAGAUUAAAACUCAAAUGAAUUGACGGGGGCCCGCACAAGCGGUGGAGCAUGUGGUUUAAUUCGAUGCAACGCGAAGAAC